AAGGCAGUGACUGCUGUGCCGCAGUGCACUCUAGACAAAUCCACACAAACACGGCUCCAGCAACGCACGGAAGUGACGUCACUAAAAGACAACGUCACACGCACGCGUAUUUCCGGUUUUUUGUGGGCGCGUAGUUUGAUUUUAUGUUAUUCGCACAUGGCAUUCAGUUGAUUCAGUACGCAUCCCGUCAGCCGCGCUUGCGGGUCGUGCUUUUCUGCUGCCACUGGUGCUGGUCCCAAGGCCUGGUUCUGCUGCAUCCUCGCAAGCCUUUAACAUCAUCCUUUUAUAUGCGCGAAAGCUGCAUUUGAGCGUUAUUUUAUAUUUACUGGCGUUAUAUUAAUCUUUUCUAAUAAGUAUUUUGUUUGUAUUUUGAUUAUUUUUGUCUCGUAUCUGCCGUUCUUGUUGCUGCUGUUCGCGACCGCUUGCUUUGUUUUAUAUGUGCUGAAGCCGCAUUGCAGCGUUAUUUUAUAUUUGCUAGCGUUAUAUUAAUCUUUUCUAAUAAGUAUUUUGAUUGUAUUUGUCGCGUAUCUACCGAUCUUGCUGCUCUUGUUCGCGACCGCUUGCUUCGUUCAUCCCUAGCGCGGAUUUCUCGGAUUUGGCAAUAUAUAUACUGCUGCCUAGAAGGUAGCCUUCUUUCGUGUGUGAAAAAAGCUCAGAUUUAUUUUCUCGCAGUGUCAUCUUCUUUUCUUUUUCUCGGUGUUAUUUUAGAUUGUACUGCUUGCGAAAUGGCACGUGUUUGGUUGCCGGCGACUCGAUGGUGAAAUACUUGAACCAGUAUUUCCUAUCGCGUCGUCGUUUGUCAGUCAGUGUUGCCGCGCAUAGAGGAAUAAAGAUUGAGGAUUUGCUCUCAAUGAUUGCUGACAAGCUAGCUGGUUUUGAUGUUGUCAUCGUGCACGUUGGCACUAACAACACUGAUAACAGUGUCAGCGUGUGCAUCGACAAGUAUCGCCAGCUCGCUCAGGGGAUCAUUGAAAGGAAUUCCAUGGUGCAUGUAGCUUUUUCUGCCAUUCUUCCUCGGGGGCAGAAUCAGUACCGCCCAUGGGAUCAGUACUAUUCAUGAAAAAUUUCCUCAUUGGGAUGGCUUUCAAGAUGUGCUUCUUGGUCAGCGUUUACAAUGUGCUCAAGUAAAAAGCCCUUUUAUUCAAAUCUUGCAUGUCCGAAACCCUGAUCACUGGCUUACAGUAAGCAAUGUUGACGCUAAUGAAAACACAGUGUUUGUAUCUGACUCGAUUGACCAAGAUACUCCUUCCGAUACCGUCAGGCAAAUCUGUCAUAUGCUAAAAUUGCAGUCUCCAACGCUGACCAUUCGCACUAAAGGGGCACAAAACCAGCGCAACACACGUGACUGUGGCUUGUUUGCAAUUGCAAAUAUGUAUUAUGUAGCAUCAGAUAGGCGUCCAGAAAAUUUAAACCUUAAUCAGAGUAUGCUGCGCAGACAUUUGCUGAAAUGCAUACAAAAAGGCAACAUGGAAGAUUUUUCACUCACAAGCUCUCUCACUGUUCGUGUGCGGCCAAAAGAUUGCAUUUACAAGUUGCAUUGUGUGUGCAGGCAACCGCUAUAUGCUGGAGUAGUACUGGACAUUUUAUGUGCAUAUUGUUGAAGAGGAUUUCACAGAGCAUGCCUUGGCCCUUUAGCGGAUAAAUGGGAUAACAAAGUAAUUGUGUGCUCUAAGUCAUGUUUGGCUACUGCCAAGGAAAAGAUCCAUACUCAUAGUACAUAGCAUUCUUCUCUUGGUACAGUGAAACCCGAACAUAACAAACCAGACCAGCAUAAACUGAAUUCUCCUCUAUAUCACACACGCAUAUCUUGCUGACUGAUACUCAUGUCAGACACUUGCUCAUAAAAGGGGCUUUUUUUUUUUAGCCUAAAUGCAAGAAUACUCAGAAGCAUUCCAGCAGUGUACUAUAAGCAAGAUCCAAUUGAGUCACAAUUUUUAGCGACUGGCAAGCUGUUGAAGGCACAAGUAAAAAUUGCUGUCUACUAUGCGUAGUUCCAUUUACAAAAAAGCAGAUAUCUUUGGCUUAAUUUUUCCACUGAAGACGAAAAAUUUGUGUAGAACGAACACAAUACAAAAGUUUUUCGUUUUGUUAGAGAUGGGUUGGAUUUAAAGAGUUACCUAAUAUAGUGAACUAUUUUUAGUGCAUAGGCCUGCUUGUUCUAAUCAGGUUUCAGUGAAACCACAAGCUACCAGUAAACACUGGCACAACAAAGUGAUGUGAAAUUUUUUUUAUUGUUCUAUUCAGUUUUAAAUUCUAGUCAUUCUAGUCCACUCUACUGGCAAAGAAGGGCAACAUUUCAUGUGAAGGUAGCAGAACUAGUUCUAGUCAACUCAACCGGCAAAGAGGGCAACAUUUUAUUGUGAAGAGAGCAGAGCUAGUUCUAGUCAACUCGUUUCUGGCCAAGAAUUGCCACAUUCAUCGUGAAGGAAGCAGAGCGAGUUCUAUUCUACUCUACUUCCAAAGUAGGGCACCAUUUCAUCGAGAAGGCAGCCAGAACUAGUUCUAGUCAACUCUACCCAAACUAACCUAAUAUAACCUAACCCCGGUGGCAAUUUACAAUUUAUUUGUACACUUCAAUGCUGUUAAGAGGUUUAUUUGUUCAUUAACAAUGCACUAACAUAGUUCCAUUGGUAGUUGUUUAACUGCUUUAUGGUUGCCUGCGGCAUCGGGAUUGUUACGGCUCAACUGCAAGGAACAAGUUCCCAACAUAUUUUUGAUCGGUUAUUUGAUUUGGCACGGGCAGACUUCAGCAUCUAAAGAGCGUCACCCCCAGUGUCUCAUUGUUCUUGACACCGCCAGCUGGCGUCGACAAUCCCUCGGGAACUUGUUUAUUGUGGAACUUGUUUAUGUGGGCAGGUUCACUUUGUAUUAUUGAAUUUGAAAACCUGAUUAUUCUGCUUCUAAGUAGCCACAAGUAUUUUGGAUAUUCAAGUAUGUUACAAAAUUUGCUUUCCAUUGGUCUGAUACAGCUUUAGCAAACAAAAUCUGUACUUGCAUUGCCCACAUUACCUUCCUGUUGCCGCAAGUCUCUCGGUGGAGCCUGACCGCUACAGAGCGCAUUCUCGGGUGGCGGAUAGAGAAAAGUCAUGUCGUGAAGCCGUGCUAAGCAGCGUCAUGCAAGACAGGCACGUGUGCCCGCGGACCCACAGGCUAAAAAAAAAUGCUACACAGCAGCACUCAGAUUGUCACAGUGACAUAUUCAUAUUUGAGUGCAAUUUGCAGAUUCUUUUUAAUCCUUUGUACUUCACUUGUGCUUUUUUUCCUCUUUUGUACAGGUCCCCUAGAUGUACCACCUGCGUGCAUUCACUACCAUCAAGUCAUCAGGAACGCGUGUACCUCUAUGUGAAUUGUACGCUAUUUUGUCUAAGAUGAAAAAUCAGACUUGUAUAGUUUGCUGUAAUGGUUCUGCCAAUAAAAGUUUGGUUAUAAAUGUUUA